AUUUAUAACAGGGUAAAGACUCUUUGCUUUAAUGGAAAACUAUAGUGCUGUAAAUAUCAAACUGUAUUGCUUACACUAUACUUUACUCUGCACCCUUAUUGUCAGUUACCUGAUUGCUGGUUCUGGCUCCGCUAACAUCAUUUAGGCUUCCCCAUCAGAAAGCAUUUAAUAAAUACGUUUCUGUAGUGUUUUAAAAUAGCCUGGUUGUCCUAUGCAAAGCAUAAGGAUGUCCAGUGUUAUUUCACAGUUAUAUUUUAAGAACCCUGAAGUGCCUCUAGUGGCUGUCUGAUAGACAGACAGGCAAUAGAGGAGGAGUUAAUCUUGCUAUAAAAUUUUGGCAGUUUCACAGAAUAUGCAAUAGUUCACAUUGCAGGGUUAAGUGGACUUGGG